AGAGUUUGAUCAUGGCUCAGGACGAACGCUGGCGGUGUGCUUCACACAUGCAAGUCGAACGGGGUAGCAAUACCCAGUGGCGGACGGGUGAGUAACGCGUAGGAAUCUGCCUUGAGAUGGGGGAUAACAGUCCGAAAGGACUGCUAAUACCCCAUAUGUAUGUAUCUCGACAGAGGUGUAUAUGAAAGGAGUAAUCCGUCUUAAGAUGAGCCUGCGUCCGAUUAGCUAGUUGGUAGGGUAAAAGCCUACCAAGGCGACGAUCGGUAGCUGGUCUGAGAGGAUGAUCAGCCACAAUGGGACUGAGACACGGCCCAUACUCCUACGGGAGGCAGCAGUGGGGAAUUUUGUGCAAUGGGCGAAAGCCUGACACAGCGACACCGCGUGAGCGAAGAAGCCCUUUGGGGUGUAAAGCUCUGUCGGCUGGAACGAAAAAAAUGACGGUACCAGCAAAGGAAGCAUCGGCUAACUACGUGCCAGCAGCCGCGGUAAGACGUAGGAUGCGAGCGUUGUCCGGAUUUAUUGGGCGUAAAGAGUUCGUAGGCGGUUCGUUAAGUCUGAUGUUAAAGAUCGGGGCUCAACCCCGGGAGUGCAUUGGAUACUGGCGGACUGGAGUGCGGUAGAGGUUAGUGGAAUUCCUGGUGUAGCGGUGAAAUGCGUAGAUAUCAGGAAGAACACCAGUGGCGUAGGCGACUAACUGGGCCGUAACUGACGCUGAGGAACGAAAGCCAGGGGAGCGAAUGGGAUUAGAUACCCUAGUAGUCC
rnacentral:rRNA from 1 species